GAGGAGUUAGUGCUGUGAGGAGAUGCCUAUGCGACAUCACCAAGAAGAUAUGGAACUUUUGCAGUAAGAUGACAACAGAGUCCUAUGUAGUAGUGGACUGGUUCACCACCCUUCAAACUAUUUGAGACACCUAAUGAUUAUUGUGAGUUUUGUAGACUGAAUUUUUUUUGGUUAUAAAUGCAGUUACUGAUAAAUCCAAAUUAAUCAGUGGCAGGUCCGCACUACUGUGUUAAUGUGGCUGGCACAGUUUCUGCCAAUUAUGCUGCAAAGUGCUGCACUCCUGCCCCAGCCAUGCCAAGACUCACUUUCAGAAGGCAGAAGAAUAUUUAGUCAGUAACUGAGGUAGGAGUGGACCACAGUGCUCUUGUGGCAUUUUCACUUCUAUGUGCUUCAGUUGCCACAUGCUGCUGAGGAGGUGAGUUGUAAAUCCAGCGUUCCUCUCAAGGUUGAAGCUGUGGACAAGAGAAUGUGCUUCCACUAUUUGCUGCAGAGUGCCAAGUAUCAGCCCUGGUUCAGAGAGCUUGCUAAUUUAUUUUGUAGAGAAGAAAUGGACGGAGGACGUGUGUUCAGGGCAUGUGCCAGAAGGAGGGAAAAUAAAAGUCUUCCAAUCUGCCAGCACUAGAGGAUAUUUCAAUAUAUUUUAAUGUUUAAAAAAGUAUGUGUUCUUAUAUUUAAAAUAUAUAUAUACUCGUAUUUUAAGUAUGUGCAUAUAUAUACAUACUUUAAAAAAUAUGAUUACAAAAUACCUCUCGUAAAGCAGAUGCAGUUUUCAGUUUAUGUUACCAGACAAUGCUAGCUGACCAGUCAUUUAACAAUGCAGAUAAUUCAGGCCA